rnacentral:rRNA from 1 species
CGGACGGGUGAGUAAUGUCUGGGAAACUGCCUGAUGGAGGGGGAUAACUACUGGAAACGGUAGCUAAUACCGCAUAAUGUCUACGGACCAAAGCGGGGGACCUCCGGGCCUCGCGCCAUCAGAUGAACCCAUAUGGGAUUAGCUUGUAGGUAAGGUAACGGCUUACCUAGGCGACGAUCCCUAGCUGGUCUGAGAGGAUGAUCAGCCACACUGGGACUGAGACACGGCCCAG